rnacentral:rRNA from 1 species
UACGUAGGGUGCAGGCGUUAAUCGGAAUUACUGGGCGUAAAGCGUGCGCAGGCGGUUUGCUAAGACAGGUGUGAAAUCCCCGGGCUUAACCUGGGAACUGCGCUUGUAACUGGCAAGCUAGAGUGUGGCAGAAGGGGGUGGAAUUCCAGGUGUAGCAGUGAAAUGCGUAGAGAUCGGGAGGAACACCGGUGGCGAAGGCGGGUCUCUGGGCAAUUCCUGACGCUGAGGCGCGAAAGCGUGGGGAGCAAACGGG